rnacentral:rRNA from 1 species
UACGUAGGGUGCGAGCGUUAAUCGGAAUUACUGGGCGUAAAGCGUGCGCAGGCGGUGAUGUAAGACCGAUGUGAAAUCCCCGGGCUUAACCUGGGAACUGCGUUUCUAACUGGCAGGCUUGAGUGUGGCAGAGGGGGGUGGAAUUCCACGUGUAGCAGUGAAAUGCGUAGAGAUGUGGAGGAACACCGAUGGCGAAGGCAGCCCCCUGGGCUAACACUGACGCUCAUGCACGAAAGCGUGGGGAGCAAACAGG